UCUCUGCUAUUCCACCCACCUCACCCUUCAAACCUAAAUUUGAACCUGCUGCUCACCGGCCUAGCACUGCUCUCACCAUGGCUCUCAGAGAUGCUGAUGUGCAAAAGCAGAUUAAGCAUAUGAUGGCUUUCAUUGAAUAAGAAGCCAAUGAGAAAGCAGAAGAAACAGAUGCAAAGGCAGAAGACUUCAACAUAGAGAAAGGUCAGCUUGUGCAAACUCAAAGACUAAAGAUUAUGGAAUAUUAUGAGAAGAAAGAGAAACAGAUUGAGCAGCAGAGGAAAAUUCAGAUGUCCAGUUUGAUGAAUCAAGCAAGGCUCAAAGUCCUUGGAGCAAGAGAAGACCUUAUCACAGACCUACUAAAUGAAGCGCAACAGAGGCUGAGCAAGGUAGUAAAAGAUACAACCAGGUACCAAAUGCUGCUGGAUGGACUGGUUCUCCAGAGUUUGUACCAGUUGCUGGAGCCCCGAAUGACUGUUCGACGCAGGAAACAAGAUUUCCGUCUGGUAAAGGCUGUGGUGCAAAGGCAAUCUCAAUGUACAAAAUUGCCACCAAAAACGAUGUUGAUGUCCAAAUUGACCGGGAGUCCUACCUGCCUGAGGACAUAGUUGGUGGAGUUGAGAUCCACAGUGGGGAUUGUAAAAUAAAGGUUUUCAACACCCUGGAAAGACGGCUGGAUCUCAUAGACCAGCAGAUGAUGCCAGAAGUCCAGAGAGCCUUGUUUGGUGCAAAUGCCAACUGGAAGUUUUUGGACUAAGGCUUCGGGAGAUGGAGCUCAUCCUCAGCUCUCCUGCUGUGAUGUGGAAGCUUCUGAUAUUUGAGGAAACAUGAUGUCUCUGUAGCUUCCUCUUUACUGCCCCAAUGUUGCUCUGUAUUUAUCAGUGAUGCCUCUGUCACUAAUGCCUUGCCUAAUCGUUUACAAUGGCAGAAAGCUUCAUGUAAUAUGAUCAAGACC